UUUUAAUUGAAACCAAAAUUAGAGGUAAAUCACUGUUAAUGAUUUUAUUGAGUUAAACUCCAAUUAAA
rnacentral:tRNA from 1 species